rnacentral:tRNA from 1 species
GCCCAGCCGACCAUCGGUGGUCUGGUGUGCGGGCUUCAAACCCGUAGCUGACGAGAGUCAAAGUGGUUCGAUUCUCCCCACGGGGU